GGGACGGGGCGGGCGGGCCUAAACAUGCAAGUCGAGCGGAUGAAGGGAGCUUGCUCCUGGAUUCAGCGGCGGACGGGUGAGUAAUGCCUAGGAAUCUGCCUGGUAGUGGGGGAUAACGUCCGGAAACGGGCGCUAAUACCGCAUACGUCCUGAGGGAGAAAGUGGGGGAUCUUCGGACCUCACGCUAUCAGAUGAGCCUAGGUCGGAUUAGCUAGUUGGUGGGGUAAAGGCCUACCAAGGCGACGAUCCGUAACUGGUCUGAGAGGAUGAUCAGUCACACUGGAACUGAGACACGGUCCAGACUCCUACAGGAGGGCAGCAGUU
rnacentral:rRNA from 1 species